rnacentral:rRNA from 1 species
UACGUAGGGCGCAAGCGUUGUCCGGAAUUAUUGGGCGUAAAGAGCUCGUAGGUGGUUUGUCGCGUCUGCCGUGAAAGCCCGGGGCUUAACUCCGGGUCUGCGGUGGAUACGGGCAGACUAGAGGCAGGUAGGGGAGAACAGAAUUCCCGGUGUAGCGGUGAAAUGCGCAGAUAUCGGGAGGAACAUCAGUGGCGAAGGCGGCCUGCUGGGCUGUUGCUGACGCUGAGGCGCGACAGCGUGGGGAGCAAACAGG